rnacentral:rRNA from 1 species
UACGUAGGGUGCAAGCGUUGUCCGGAAUUAUUGGGCGUAAAGAGCUCGUAGGCGGUUCGUCGCGUCGGCUGUGAAAACCUGAGGCUCAACCUCAGGCCUGCAGUCGAUACGGGCGGACUAGAGUGCGGUAGGGGAGAUUGGAAUUCCUGGUGUAGCGGUGGAAUGCGCAGAUAUCAGGAGGAACACCGAUGGCGAAGGCAGAUCUCUGGGCCGUAACUGACGCUGAGGAGCGAAAGCAUGGGGAGCGAACAGG